rnacentral:rRNA from 1 species
AUGUCAUCCAUGAUAUAUGAACUUGUGCAUUUCAUUAGCAAAUUUGUUGUGAUCUUUCUUGAUGGAAUAUUCACACAUCAUGAUCAUAUUGCCUACCAUCAAUUGCAUGAUAACUUCUCCAUAUUGAGCAUACAUUACCAUAUUCAUGCUAUUGAUAAACCGUCUCACCAUGACAUCAUUUUGCACCAUGGUUGCAUUGAUCACAUUCACAAUACAUUUGUGUGCACAAUGAAUGCUUUUCCUCCCAUGAAUGCUCUACAUGUCAUUUUACAUCAUCUUGAUAAGCUUCAUGCGCUUUGUCACGAACAAUCUUGCCGCAAGGACUUAUGCUUAUUUGAUGGACACUUUGUGUGCACUAACCAUUGUAUUUCUGAGUGUCGCUUGUGUUUGCUCUUUUUGCAUGUAUACCACUCCGGAGACACCUUGGAGUACUUGGAUUGCGCCAUAUCUUCAAUUCCGUCCAACUACAAGUCCGCCCACGACAACCGUUUCCAUGGUGAUGACGAUCACGAUCCGAGGUUGGAUAUCUCCCGAGGGGGAGGAGAUGAUGCAGAGCAUCCUAUGGACAUCACCAUGUCAAGAGCCACUUCAUCAAGUGACACGUGUGACAUCUACUUCAUGCUUACAAAGGUGAAUCAUCUCCUUUACACGUGUCCACUUGUACCCUUCGAGGAUGGUAUACUACUUGACCCCUCUCUCGUGUGCAUGCAUAGGUGUGAGCGGAGCUACACGUUCUUUGAGGAGGAACCCAAUCGGAAGAGUACAACUACACCAUCCACGAGGAGAACGCGCGAAAGAAGGAAGCUCGCCGAGUCCAAGGAGAAGGACGGGAAGACCGCAAGGAAGACAGAGGCGAGAAGAUGGAAGAAGAAGCACGGUUCAGAGGACCCCGUGUGCACGGCCCUUUUGGACCCGUGCGCACGGCCUAUCCAGAGAGUUUCUGGAUACCCCGUGCGCAGGGGCCCCAAAAGACCCCGUGCACACGGGUCCCCCAUGCCCACGGAGCUGACUUAG